UACGUAGGGUGCGAGCGUUAAUCGGAAUUACUGGGCGUAAAGUGUGCGCAGGCGGCUGCGCAAGUCGAGUGUGAAAGCCCCGGGCUUAACUUGGGAAUUGCGCUCGAAACUACGUGGCUGGAGUAUGGCAGAGGAAGGUGGAAUUCCACGUGUAGCGGUGAAAUGCGUAGAGAUGUGGAGGAACACCGAUGGCGAAGGCAGCCCCCUGGGUCAAGAUUGACGCUCAUGCACGAAAGCGUGGGGAGCAAACAGG
rnacentral:rRNA from 1 species